AAUUUGGAAGGACAUAAAAAAAAUGGCGCACAAUUUUGGAGCAAAUACAUUAAUUGGCGGCAAAUGAAAUAAUUGUGCUAAAUAUUGUAUUAUUUCACUUGUUAUUCUCAUUUUCUAAAUCUACAUAUCUCAUUCUCUCUCUUAACUCUCUGUCUCCCUCACAUCUAUCUAAACCUAGCAGAAAUCUCCCUACCCAAACCCCAAAUUUUCCCAAACCUUUGAGACCUCUCUAAAAAAAUUUCCAAACUUUCCGAGAGGAAAUUCUCCAAAUUUCCCAGAAAUUUCACCACAACCUCAAACUCCCAGAUCUCCCUACCUCUCAUCGAAAUCCCAAAAUUCUAGUCUCUUUAUUUAUCUCGCCAAAUCCCCAAACCCUCUCCUCCUCUCCCUCAAUGUUACCUAUUUCUCACCGCUUCUCUCUUUCUCUCACCGCCUCUUUCUCUUUCACACGGAAUCCCCAGGUAUGUGUAAUCUUUUUCUUAUUUUUUUUUCUUGGUUACCUUUCUCUUUCUCUCACUCAGGGUAUCUCCGGUUUUUGUCCCUCUCUUAGUUACUAUAAGAUUUUUUUUAAUAUCCAUUUUUGUAUUUAUGGGGUAUUUUUAUGCUCCAGUCUCUCUGCUGUGCUCUUAAUUUAUUGUGUUUUUUUUUAGGUCUCACUUCAUUACAAUUAUGGUUGGAAAAAGUUGAUUUAGGGCUUGAUUUAAAAUUUCCAAAAAGGAGAAAGAUCUCUAGAAACUGAAUAAGAAGGUUCGACCCAAGGAAUUCUGUGUUGGAGUGGUCCAUUCUACUUAUUGACAACUCGAACCGAAGGUUGUGAAUGUCUUGCCCCAGAAAGGUGGAGCUCCACCGAAGUUCGAUCAAAGAACGUAGUGAUGUAGGCAAAACUCACAGGUUGCAGGUUGCUGCUUCACUAACAAGGAAGUCGAUGCUCAUAUACCCAAUUACCCCAACUUGCCAUCACAGUUAAUUUGUCAGCUUCACAAUGUGACUAUGCAUGACUGGAUUAAAUUACUAAAAGAAAUGGUGUUGCAAUUUUAAAGUGUGGCCAACCUUAAAGGUUCUACCAUUAUAGGAAAAAGUGUUUCUUCAUAGCCUUGUGGACUAAGUUGAGGAGAAGAAGGAACCACCAAGAACCAGCCACAGUAAGAGGUACAAAUUCAUAGAUUUCCUUAGAAGUUUAGGGUUCCGAUUUUUCGUUUUCAUUUCUUAGGAUGGCUAUUAAUUUGUGGGGCGUUUUAUAUAGUUUUAAUCUGUGUUUAGGGACUAUAAACUUUCAUUAAG